rnacentral:rRNA from 1 species
GACGAACGCUGGCGGCGUGCCUAAUACAUGCAAGUUGAGCGAUGAAGAUUGGUGCUUGCACCAAUUUGAAGAGCAGCGAACGGGUGAGUAACGCGUGGGGAAUCUGCCUUUGAGCGGGGGACAACAUUUGGAAACGAAUGCUAAUACCGCAUAACAACUUUAAACAUAAGUUUUAAGUUUGAAAGAUGCAAUUGCAUCACUCAAAGAUGAUCCCGCGUUGUAUUAGCUAGUUGGUGAGGUAAAGGCUCACCAAGGCGAUGAUACAUAGCCGACCUGAGAGGGUGAUCGGCCACAUUGGGACUGAGACACGGCCCAAACUCCUACGGGAGGCAGCAGUAGGGAAUCUUCGGCAAUGGACGAAAGUCUGACCGAGCAACGCCGCGUGAGUGAAGAAGGUUUUCGGAUCGUAAAACUCUGUUGGUAGAGAAGAACGUUGGUGAGAGUGGAAAGCUCAUCAAGUGACGAUAACUACCCAGAAAGGGACGGCUAACUACGUG